rnacentral:rRNA from 1 species
UACGGAGGGUGCAAGCGUUAUCCGGAUUCACUGGGUUUAAAGGGUGCGUAGGCGGACAGGUAAGUCAGUGGUGAAAUCUCCGAGCUUAACUCGGAAACUGCCGUUGAUACUAUCUGUCUUGAAUAUCAUGGAGGUAAGCAGAAUAUGUCAUGUAGCGGUGAAAUGCUUAGGUAUGACAUAGAAUACCGAUAGCGAAGGCAGCUUACUACAUGUUAAUUGACGCUGAGGCACGAAAGCGUGGGGAGCAAACAGG